CGCAAUGGGCGCAAGCCUGACGGAGCAAUACCGCGUGAGGGAGGAAGGCUCUUGGGUCGUAAACCUCUUUUAUCAGGGAAGAACACAAUGACGGUACCUGAUGAAUCAGCAUCGGCUAACUCCGUGCCAGCAGCCGCGGUAAUACGGAGGAUGCAAGCGUUAUCCGGAAUUAUUGGGCGUAAAGCGUCCGCAGGUGGUUUUGAAAGUUUGCUGUCAAAGCGCGAGGCUCAACUUCGUAUCGGCGGUGAAAACUUCAAGACUAGAGCUAGGUAGGGGUCACGGGAAUUCCCAGUGUAGCGGUGAAAUGCGUAGAUAUUGGGAAGAACACCAGCGGCGAAAGCGCGUGACUGGGCCUGAGCUGACACUCAUGGACGAAAGCUA
rnacentral:rRNA from 1 species